rnacentral:rRNA from 1 species
GAUGAACGCUGGCGGUCUGCUUAACACAUGCAAGUCGAGCGAGAAACUAUUUAAAGAUUCUUCGGAUGAAUUAAAUAGUGGAAAGCGGCGGACGGGUGAGUAACGCGUGGGUAACCUGCCCUAUGCAGGGGGAUAACACAUUGAAAAGUGUGCUAAUACCGCAUAAGACCACGAAAUCGCAUGAUUUAGUGGUAAAAACUCCGGUAGCAUAGGAUGGACCCGCGUCUAGAUUAGCUAGUAGGUAAGGUAACGGCUUACCUAGGCGACGAUCAGUAGCCGACCUGAGAGGGUGAACGGCCACAUUGGGACUGAGACACGGCCCAAACUCCUACGGGAGG